rnacentral:rRNA from 1 species
UUCGGAGCAGGAAGACAGGUGGUGCAUGGUUGUCGUCAGCUCGUGUCGUGAGAUGUUGGGUUUAAGUCCCGCAACGAGCGCAACCCUUAUCGUUAGUUGCUACCAUUAAGUUGAGCACUCUAGCGAGACUGCCGGGUUAACCGGGAGGAAGGUGGGGAUGACGUCAAAUCAUCAUGCCCCUUAUGUCUAGGGCUACACACGUGCUACAAUGGUGAGGACAAAGAGACGCAAGACCGCGAGGUGGAGCAAAUCUCACAAACCUCAUCCCAGUUCGGAUUGCAGGCUGAAACUCGCCUGCAUGAAGCCGGAGUUGCUAGUAAUCGCGAAUCAGCAUGUCGCGGUGAAUACGUUCCCGGGCCUU